UAAAUUAAAUGGCGGUGGAUGCUGCGUAUCUGAUGCAGUUUGUGGACGAAACCUCGUUUUACAAUCGCAUUGUUCUGAGCCACCUCUCGCCGGCGAAAUUAGAAUUGUAUUAACGAGUAUGAGUUUUAUAGGUUGGGCCUUCAGAUAUUAGCCCAUUACAAUAUGAUUGGUCCCAGUACUUUUAAUUCGUUUAGACAGUGUGUGCGGGCACGUCAUGUACUCAGGACUCAACUCUUUUGUUUUUCCCUUGUCUUGGUGUACCGCUUCCACUAGCAUUUAUAUCCCCCCCCCCCUCUUUCUUUUAAUAUUUUCAGUUUCACCCACAUUUUUUUUUAUUUACACUAAUUUUAUUCAAAUUCCUAAUCGGCUCCACUUUUUAAAAUAUUACAUGUUAAGCAUAGUUUGACAUGGUAGUGAUCAUCAAUUUAAUCACUCGUUGAAAUCUAGAAUAAAUUUUAUAAAAAAUUGAAUACUUGAAGAUAGUAGCAGUCAUAGUCAUAGACUUUUUCAAAACGUGUCCUGGCACAAAUCUUGAAUUUUCAUACUCCUUUUUGUCAAACAAACGUUGCAUACAUUUUUUAUCCUUACAGUUAUUAAUCAUAAACUAAGUGAAAUAGGUUAGUAGACGAUCUUUAGAAGUACAAGGCUUAAUCUGUAAAUAGAACAAAAUAUAGGGAAGAAUUACAGUUAUUUCGAAAGAAAAAAAAACAAAGUGGGCCAAGAGUUUCAAUCAGAACUGAGUGUCUGAGAUCUGAAUGAGUUUUGAUUGUUCUCUCUCUCUCUGUGACAUGCAUUAUCAGUACAGUUGACUCGUUCCAGUUCAGGAAAAGUUAAAAGUGAAUAAAAAAAAAUCACUCGGGCGAAUAUUCUCUCCUUCCCCGGCUCCGAUUCCGACGAAUCUAAAUUAAAUGGCGGUGGAUGCUGCGUAUCUGAUGCAGUUCGUGGACGAGACAUCGUUUUACAAUCGGAUUGUUCUGAGCCACCUCUUGCCGUCGAAUCUGUGGGACCCAUUACCGCAUUUCAUCCAGACAUGGCUCCGGAACUACCUCGCCGGAACCCUACUUUACUUCGUCUCCGGCUUCCUCUGGUGCUUCUACAUCUAU
rnacentral:lncRNA from 1 species